rnacentral:lncRNA from 1 species
AUGAGUACAAAACUUCAUUUCAAUAAGCUUGUUCUGGGGAGGGACUGAUUAACCCAGUCUAAUAAAGCACUUCAAGAGCUGUUUAAUUUUUAGCACAGGACCUCCCAGGAUCAGAAUGCCAGCAUGUCUGAGACAGCAACAAACAGGAUGAGUACUGGACCUGAAGGAAGAAUAUAGGAAGAGCAGUAAGUUGUGGUACUUUAGCUUUGUAUCUCACUGAAUCAAUGGUUUAUCAUGAAGUUAGUGGAUGCUCAGCUGUUUGAGACACCAACAUCCAGGUGAAAUAAAGAACUAACCACUGAUGCCA